CCCUUAGACGUUCUGGGCCGCACGCGCGCUACACUGACCAGUGCAACAAGCAUCCGUCCUUGGCCGACAGGCCCGGGCAAUCUUUGAACGCUGGUCGUGAUGGGGAUAGACUUUUGCAAUUUUUGGUCUUCAACGAGGAAUUCCUAGUAAACGCAAGUCAUCAACCUGCAUUGAUUACGUCCCUGCCCUUUGUACACACCGCCCGUCGCACCUACCGAUUGAAUGGUCCGGUGAAGCCUCCGGAUUGGCGCGCACCUCGGUGCCGCCGAGAAGUUGGCUAAACCUUACCAUUUAGAGGAAGGUGAAGUCGUAACA
rnacentral:rRNA from 1 species